rnacentral:rRNA from 1 species
CCACGGUCUCUGCGACGCAGCUAACGCAUUAAGUGCCCCGCCUGGGGAGUACGAUCGCAAGAUUAAAACUCAAAGGAAUUGACGGGGCCCCGCACAAGCAGCGGAGCAUGCGGCUUAAUUCGACGCAACGCGAAGAACCUUACCAAGGCUUGACAUAUACAGGAAUAUGGCAGAGAUGUCAUAGCCGCAAGGUCUGUAUACAGGUGGUGCAUGGUUGUCGUCAGCUCGUGUCGUGAGAUGUUGGGUUAAGUCCCGCAACGAGCGCAACCCUCGUUCUGUGUUGCCAGCAUUUAGUUGGGGACUCACAGGAGACUGCCGGGGUUAACUCGGAGGAAGGUGGGGAUGACGUCAAAUCAUCAUGCCCCUUAUGUCUUGGGCUGCACGCAUGCUACAAUGGCUGGUACAAACGGCUGCAAUACCGCAAGGUGGAGCGAAUCCGAGAAAGCCAGUCUCAGUUCGGAUUGGGGUCUGCAACUCGACCCCAUGAAGUCGGAGUUGCUAGUAAUCGUAGAUCAGCAACGCUACGGUGAAUACGUUCCCGGGGCUUGUACACACCGCCCGUCACGUCACGAAAGUCGGUAACACCCGAAGUCAGUGGCCCAACCGCAAGGAGGGAGCUGCCGAAG